GUAGGUGGCAAGCGUUGUCCGGAAUUAUUGGGCGUAAAGCGCGCGCAGGCGGUUCUUUAAGUCUGAUGUGAAAGCCCGCGGGCUCAACCGUGGAGGGUCAUUGGAAACUGGAGAACUUGAGUACAGAAGAGGAAAGCGGAAUUCCACGUGUAGCGGUGAAGUGCGUAGAGAUGUGGAGGAACACCAGUGGCGAAGGCGGCUUUCUGGUCUGUAACUGACGCUGAGGCGCGAAAGCGUGGGGAGCAAACAGGAUUAGAUACCCUGGUAGUCCACGCCGUAAACGAUGAGUGCUAAGUGUUAGGGGGGUUUCCGCCCCUUAGUGCUGCAGCUAACGCAUUAAGCACUCCGCCUGGGGAGUACGGCCGCAAGGCUG
rnacentral:rRNA from 1 species